rnacentral:rRNA from 1 species
UUGGAGGGCAAGUCUGGUGCCAGCAGCCGCGGUAAUUCCAGCUCCAAUAGCGUAUAUUAAAGUUGUUGCAGUUAAAAAGCUCGUAGUUGAAUUUCGAGAUCAAAUUGUUGGUCGUGCCUCGGUACGUACUGGCAUUAUUGAUUUCUCCCUUCUGAAGAACCUUGAUGUCAUUAAUUUGGUGUCUUGGGGAAUCAGGACCGUUACUUUGAAAAAAUUAGAGUGUUUAAAGCAGGCUCACGCUUGAAUACAUUAGCAUGGAAUAAUGAAAUAGGACGUUUGAUUCUAUUUUGUUGGUUUCUAGGAUCGACGUAAUGAUUAAUAGGGAUAGUUGGGGGCAUUAGUAUUCAAUUGUCAGAGGUGAAAUUCUUGGAUUUAUUGAAGACUAACUACUGCGAAAGCAUUUGCCAAGGAUGUUUUCAUUAAUCAAGAACGAAAGUUAGGGGAUCGAAGACGAUCAGAUACCGUCGUAGUCUUAACCAUAAACUAUGCCGACUAGGGAUCGGAUGAUGUUAAUUUUUUAAUGACCCAUUCGGCGCCUUACGGGAAACCAAAGUGUUUGGGUUC